rnacentral:rRNA from 1 species
AAUGAACGCUGGCGGCAUGCCUAACACAUGCAAGUCGAACGAAGCCUUCGGGCUUAGUGGCGCACGGGUGCGUAACGCGUGGGAAUCUGCCCUUGGGUUCGGAAUAACUCGCCGAAAGGCGUGCUAAUACCGAAUGAUGACGUAAGUCCAAAGAUUUAUCGCCCAAGGAUGAGCCCGCGUAGGAUUAGCUUGUUGGUGAGGUAAAAGCUCACCAAGGCGACGAUCCUUAGCUGGUCUGAGAGGAUGAUCAGCCACACUGGGACUGAGACACGGCCCAGACUCCUACGGGAGGCAGCAGUGGGGAAUAUUGGACAAUGGGCGAAAGCCUGAUCCAGCAAUGCCGCGUGAGUGAUGAAGGCCUUAGGGUUGUAAAGCUCUUUUACCCGGGAUGAUAAUGACAGUACCGGGAGAAUAAGCUCCGGCUAACUUCGUGCCAGCAGCCGCGGUAAG